UGGUUAGUGGCAAACGGGUGAGUAACGCAUAGGUAAUCUGCCCCUAAGACUGGGAUAACCAUUCGAAAGAAUGGCUAAUACCGGAUAUUCUUAUUUUAUCGCAUGAUGAAAUAAGGAAAAGUCCGCUGCUUAGGGAGGAGCUUAUGUCUGAUUAGCUAGUUGGUAAGGUAAAGGCUUACCAAGGCGAUGAUCAGUAGCUGGUCUGAGAGGAUGAACAGCCACACUGGGACUGAGACACGGCCCAGACUCC
rnacentral:rRNA from 1 species